GAUGAACGCUGGCGGCGUGCCUAAUACAUGCAAGUCGAGCGAACAGACGAGGAGCUUGCUCCUCUGACGUUAGCAGCGGACGGGUGAGUAACACGUGGAUAACCUACCUAUAAGACUGGGAUAACUUCGGGAAACCGGAGCUAAUACCGGAUAAUAUAUUGAACCGCAUGGUUCAAUAGUGAAAGACGGUUUUGCUGCCACUUAUAGAUGGAUCCGCGCCGCAUUACCGAGUUGGUAAGGGAACGGCUUACCAAGGCAAGGAUGCGUAGCCGACCUGAGAGGGUGUUCGGCCACGCUGGAACUGAGACACGCACCAGACCCCUAGGGGAGGCUGCGGUAGGGAAUCUUGGCUACUGGGCGAAAGCCUGACGGGCCCACGCCGCGUGAGUGAUGAGGGUCUUCGUAUCGUAAAACACUGUUAUUGGGGAAGAACAUGGGUGUAAGUAACUCCGCACGUCUUGACGGUACCUAAUCAGAAAGCCACGGCUAACUACGUG
rnacentral:rRNA from 1 species